rnacentral:rRNA from 1 species
GUUGUAUGGUUAAGUGACUAAGCGUACACGGUGGAUGCCUUGGCAGUCAGAGGCGAUGAAAGACGUAGUAACUUGCGAUAAGCCCAGAUUAGGUAGUAACAACCAUUUGAGUCUGGGAUUUCUGAAUGGGGAAACCCACGUGCAUAAGCACGUAUCCUUACCUGAAUACAUAGGGUAAGGAGGCGAACCGGGGGAACUGAAACAUCUAAGUACCCCGAGGAAAAGAAAUCAACCGAGAUUCCGAAAGUAGCGGCGAGCGAAAUUGGACUAGCCCUUAAGCUUUACACGCGUUAGACGAACGGUCUGGAAAGUCCGACGAUACAGGGUGAUAGUCCCGUAGUUGACGACGUGUGUUCAGUGAAAUCGAGUAGGGCGGGACACGUGAUAUCCUGUCUGAAUAUGGGGGGACCAUCCUCCAAGGCUAAAUACUACUGACUGACCGAUAGUGAACCAGUACCGUGAGGGAAAGGCGAAAAGAACCCCUGUGAGGGGAGUGAAAUAGAACCUGAAACCGUGUACGUACAAGCAGUAGGAGCAGGCUUUGUCCUGUGACUGCGUACCUUUUGUAUAAUGGGUCAGCGACUUAUAUUCAGUGGCAAGGUUAACCAUCUAGGGGAGCCGUAGGGAAACCGAGUCUUAACUGGGCGUUCAGUCUCUGGAUAUAGACCCGAAACCAGGUGAUCUAGCCAUGGGCAGGUUGAAGGUUGAGUAACAUCAACUGGAGGACCGAACCGACUAAUGUUGAAAAAUUAGCGGAUGACUUGUGGCUAGGGGUGAAAGGCCAAUCAAACCUGGAGAUAGCUGGUUCUCCCCGAAAGCUAUUUAGGUAGCGCCUCGGACGAAUACUACUGGGGGUAGAGCACUGUUAAGGCUAGGGGGUCAUCCCGACUUACCAACCCUUUGCAAACUCCGAAUACCAGUAAGUACUAUCCGGGAGACACACGGCGGGUGCUAACGUCCGUCGUGGAGAGGGAAACAACCCAGACCGCCAGCUAAGGUCCCAAAUUACUACUAAGUGGGAAACGAUGUGGGAAGGCUCAGACAGCCAGGAUGUUGGCUUAGAAGCAGCCAUCAUUUAAAGAAAGCGUAAUAGCUCACUGGUCGAGUCGGCCUGCGCGGAAGAUGUAACGGGGCUAAGUAGUAAACCGAAGCUGCGGCAAUGUGCUUUUGCACAUUGGGUAGGGGAGCGUUCUGUAAGCGGUUGAAGGUGUGUGGUAACGCAUGCUGGACGUAUCAGAAGUGCGAAUGCUGACAUGAGUAACGAUAAAGGGGGUGAAAAACCUCCUCGCCGGAAGACCAAGGGUUCCUGUCCAACGUUAAUCGGGGCAGGGUAAGUCGACCCCUAAGGCGAGGCCGAAAGGCGUAGUCGAUGGGAAACGGGUUAAUAUUCCCGUACUUCUUACAAUUGCGAUGGGGGGACGGAGAAGGCUAGGUGGGCCUGGCGACGGUUGUCCAGGUUCAAGUGCGUAGGCUUAAGAGUUAGGUAAAUCCGGCUCUUUUUAAG